rnacentral:ribozyme from 1 species
AGUGCAAAGCAGCCAGCCCAUUCAUCGGUGUACACCGAAGAAGAAGAAGAAGAAGAAGAAAGAAGAAGAAGAAGAAGAAGGAAACAGAAAGAAUCAGCAUCCGCCUCUGUGAUCCCUGUUGGUUUUAUAGUAGUAGGCUUGUUCUUGUUGCACAGCCUCUUUCGUUCUU